GGCCAUGGGGAGGUCCAGGUGGCGACCAUUGGAGUUUCAAGACUGAUCGUGGGAUUGCUGGAAUAACCAUGAAUGUAGGAGAACAUAUUCAGUCCAUUUCAUUCAAAGAUGCUGGUGGUGAUGUUUCAGGGACAUUUGGUGGCAGGGACCCAAAUGAAUUCAGUGAAGUAAUACAGAUUGAAUUUAGCUGGCCCUCAGAGCUUUUGAAAUCCAUAACCGGAAACUUAUGGAAUUUACAAGGACUUAUUAGUAAUCACGUCCCUCUCAUUUACUACAAAUCUCAAAAGUUAUGGACCUUUUGGAAAUUCUACCGGCGAGGAUUUCUCUGUUUCGAUAUCAGAAAAUAACAUUGUCGGGUUCCAUGGGAGAUGUGGUUACUAUCUUGAUGCAAUUGGUGUUUUUGUGCAACCAGCAGAUUCAAGUAUCACAUGCGGGCCUUGGGGAGGAUCCGGGGGAGCUCGACCUUUUAGUUUUAAGGUGGAAAAAUGGAUAAAAGAGAUAAUCGUGCUGCAGGAAGCCGUAUCAAUUCCGUCGCUUUUAAAGAUGCCAGUGGUGAAGUGUAUGGAAAGUUCGGUGGUGAGGAUCCACACGACUCCGGUGUGGAAAGAAUAAUAAGUCUAGUUUUUUUUUUUUAUGGGUUGAAAAAAAAAUAACAAAUCAUAUCAAUCAUUUCUUUAAUUUCUCUUUCUUAUAUUUGGCCGAGCAAAUUCUUUUCCAUAUUUGUGUGAUGAAAUUGGCAAAUGUGUAGAUUGAGAUCAAUGGGCCAUCCGAGUAUCUGACAUCCAUAGCUGGGACUUUCGGAUGUUAUAAGGACCAUAAGGUGAUCACGUCACUAUCUUUCAUAACGAACUUGAACACUCACGGAUCUUUUGGCACUGUUAGCGGCACUUCUUUCUCAUCCAUGCCAACAGAAGGAGGUGUCGUGAUUGGAUUCCAUGGAAGAGGUGGCUAUUAUGUUGAUGCAAUUGGAACCCAUGUGAA